AUGUCUCAAAUAACCCAUGUCUUGUCAGAUCAAUACACACUCUUUCGUACGCAUUUGCUAUUAGGUGGCCCAUCUCCGGAAAGCGCGUUCACUUUGAAUAUGGUGCUUUAUCGCUACGACAAGGAACAAGAGUAUCUUGAAUUGAGUCAAAUUUUUCUUUGGAAGUGUAUAACCUCGUGUAUAACCUCAUGUGAUCAUCUUAUGAUUUACCAAGCAAUCCGGCUACAGCCCGAUAACCGCAAUUGCCGACACCCCCAAUAUUCACAAUCCGCUCAAUGUAUUUAUGCAUAA